rnacentral:lncRNA from 1 species
AAAUUGAGGGACUUGCGCAUGGCUCCUUUGUGGGAUUUGUUUUGGCAAGUUUUGGAUUCAAAUGAUCAUUCCCCUUUACAUGCUUCCAUGUGAUAGCCUUAGUAUCUUUAGGCACGAAUUGAAGUUGGAUUGCGUCAUUCUUUAGGCUCAAAUCAUUGCCCAUGUAUCCAUGCACUAUGGUUUCCAAGUUUAGCAAAUUUUCA